UACGUAGGUGGCAAGCGUUGUCCGGAUUUACUGGGCGUAAAGCGCGUGUAGGCGGCUAGAAAAGUCAGAUGUGAAAUCCCUAGGCUUAACCAAGGAACUGCAUUUGAUACUGUCUAGCUUGAGUUUUGGAGGGGGUGGUGGAAUUCCUAGUGUAGAGGUAAAAUUCGUAGAUAUUAGGAGGAACACCAGUGGCGAAGGCGACCACCUGGACAAAAACUGACGCUGAGACGCGAAAGCAUGGGUAGCAAACAGG
rnacentral:rRNA from 1 species